rnacentral:rRNA from 1 species
CAGCCGCCACGGUAAUACGUAGGGCGCAAGCGUUAUCCGGAAUUAUUGGGCGUAAAGAGCUCGUAGGCGGUUUGUCGCGUCUGCCGUGAAAGUCCGGGGCUCAACCCCGGAUCUGCGGUGGGUACGGGCAGACUAGAGUGAUGUAGGGGAGACUGGAAUUCCUGGUGUAGCGGUGAAAUGCGCAGAUAUCAGGAGGAACACCGAUGGCGAAGGCAGGUCUCUGGGCAUUAACUGACGCUGAGGAGCGAAAGCAUGGGGAGCGAACAGGAUUAGAUACCCCCGUAGUCCCUGUCUCUUAUAA